rnacentral:rRNA from 1 species
AGUGAACGCUGGCGGUAGGCCUAACACAUGCAAGUCGAACGGUAGCACAGUUAGAGCUUGCUCUUACGGGCGGCGAGUGGCGGACGGGCGCGGAAUCCAUCGGAACCUACUUUUUCGUGGGGGCUAACGUAGGGAAACUUACGCUCAUACCGCAUACGACGUACGGUUGAAAGCAGGGGAACUUCGGACCUUGCGCGAUUGAAUGAGCCGAUGUCGGAUUAGCUAGUUGGCGGGGUAAAGGCCCACCAAGGCGACGAUCCGUAGCUUGUCUGAGAGGAUGAGAAGCCACACUACAACUGAGACACGGUCCAGGCUCCUACGGGAGGCAGCAGUGGGGAAUAUUGGACAAUGGGCGCAAGCCUGGUCCAGCCAUACCGCGUGGGUGAAGAAGGCCUUCGGGUUGUAAAGCCCUUUUGUUGGGAAGGAAAAGCAGCAGGUUAAUACCCCGCUGUUCUGACGGUACCCAAAGAAUAAGCACCGGCUAACUUCGUG